AAUAAGCUUGCUUGCUUUGCUGACGAGUGGCGGACGGGUGAGUAAUGUCUGGGAAACUGCCUGAUGGAGGGGGAUAACUACUGGAAACGGUAGCUAAUACCGCAUAACGUCGCAAGACCAAAGAGGGGGACCUUCGGGCCUCUUGCCAUCGGAUGUGCCCAGAUGGGAUUAGCUAGUAGGUGGGGUAACGGCUCACCUAGGCGACGAUCCCUAGCUGGUCUGAGAGGAUGACCAGCCACACUGGAACUGAGACACGGUCCAGACUCCUACGGGAGGCAGCAGUGGGGAAUAUUGCACAAUGGGCGCAAGCCUGAUGCAGCCAUGCCGCGUGUAUGAAGAAGGCCUUCGGGUUGUAAAGUACUUUCAGCGGGGAGGAAGGGAGUAAAGUUAAUACCUUUGCUCAUUGACGUUACCCGCAGAAGAAGCACCGGCUAACUCCGUGCCAGCAGCCGCGGUAAUACGGAGGGUGCAAGCGUUAAUCGGAAUUACUGGGCGUAAAGCGCACGCAGGCGGUUUGUUAAGUCAGAUGUGAAAUCCCCGGGCUCAACCUGGGAACUGCAUCUGAUACUGGCAAGCUUGAGUCUCGUAGAGGGGGGUAGAAUUCCAGGUGUAGCGGUGAAAUGCGUAGAGAUCUGGAGGAAUACCGGUGGCGAAGGCGGCCCCCUGGACGAANACUGACGCUCAGUGCGAAAGCGUGGGGAGCAACAGGAUUAGAUACCCUGGUAGUCCACGCCGUAACGAUGUCGACUU
rnacentral:rRNA from 1 species